GUCGGCCUGCGCGGAAGAUGUAACGGGGCUAAACCAUGCACCGAAGCUGCGGCAGCGACACUGUGUGUUGUUGGGUAGGGGAGCGUUCUGUAAGCCUGUGAAGGUGUGUCGUGAGGCAUGCUGGAGGUAUCAGAAGUGCGAAUGCUGACAUAAGUAACGAUAAAGCGGGUGAAAAGCCCGCUCGCCGGAAGACCAAGGGUUCCUGUCCAACGUUAAUCGGGGCA
rnacentral:rRNA from 1 species